rnacentral:lncRNA from 1 species
AUCACUUUGUCAAUGGCACAUUGUGUUGUGGCAGUCAUCGUGAAAAGGCAAAGAUUUCUCGCUUUGAUGAAUUUAUAAAAACUAAACUAAAUCAAUCUGUAUUUGCAUCUUCAACAAUUCUUAUCUCUGUAUCGUCUGGUAUUGCUCUGAAGUCGAUCUGCAGAAGAUCGAAAAAUCCGUGAAGGCCUCAACCUGGCCAUUACCACGUUUGGUAAUUAUUAUAUCAAUGUGUGGAUUAUAAACUGUGGAUUAUUAACUGUGGAUUAUUAACUGUGGAUUAUUAACUGUGGAUUAUUACAAGCAACAUACGGCUCAACUCAAGUAAAAGGAAGACGUUAUAAGAAUAGUAUCGAAUGAAGAACAAGAAGCGUUGACGUGAUGGAGAUCAGUCAACA